GGGGGACGCGGCAGCGGCGGCGGCGGCGGCGGCAGCGGCGCUGAUAAUGAGUUUUCUUGGAGGCUUUUUUGGUCCGAUUUGUGAGAUCGAUAUUGUCCUUAAUGAUGGAGAAACCAGGAAAAUGGCAGAAAUGAAAACUGAAGAUGGCAAAGUAGAAAAACACUAUCUCUUCUAUGAUGGAGAAUCUGUUUCAGGCAAGGUAUUUUCUUAAAGUGACAAUAGUAAGAAGACUGACAGACUUGGUAAAAGAAUAUGAUCUUAUUGUUCACCAGCUUGCCACCUAUCCUGAUGUUAACAACUCUAUUAAGAUGGAAGUGGGCAUUGAAGAUUGUCUGCAUAUAGAAUUUGAAUAUAAUAAAUCAAAGUAUCACUUAAAGGAUGUGAUUGUUGGAAAAAUUUACUUCUUAUUAGUAAGAAUAAAAAUACAACAUAUGGAGUUACAACUGAUCAAAAAAGAGAUCACAGGAAUUGGACCCAGUACCACAACAGAAACAGAAACAAUCGCCAAAUAUGAAAUAAUGGAUGGUGCACCAGUAAAAGGUGAAUCAAUUCCAAUAAGACUAUUUUUAGCAGGAUAUGACCCAACUCCAACAAUGAGAGAUGUAAACAAAAAAUUUUCAGUAAGGUACUUUUUGAAUCUAGUGCUUGUUGAUGAGGAAGACAGAAGGUACUUCAAGCAACAGGAGAUCAUUUUAUGGAGAAAAGCUCCUGAAAAACUGAGGAAACAGAGAACAAACUUUCACCAGCGAUUUGAAUCUCCAGAAUCACAGGCAUCUGCUGAACAGCCUGAAAUGUGAACUGAAUAGGAGAAAAAAAGAAAAACAAAAAGCUCCUAUAACCAUUGAGAUUAAAUUCAGCAGGUUAAAGAUGGUUGCAGCACAUAGGAGGGAAAAGGCCAAAACUCCAUAUAUAUUAGUCUUCCUUUAUAUUAUAUAGUGCUGCAUUUAUUUUAUGAUAUAAUGAAAUGUUCUUCAUGUAUAUACAUUUAAAAAAGUGCUUUCUUUGAAACACUG